rnacentral:rRNA from 1 species
AGUGAACGCUGGCGGUAGGCCUAACACAUGCAAGUCGAACGGCAGCACAGUAAGAGCUUGCUCUUACGGGUGGCGAGUGGCGGACGGGUGAGGAAUACAUCGGAAUCUACUUUUUCGUGGGGGAUAACGUAGGGAAACUUACGCUAAUACCGCAUACGACCUACGGGUGAAAGCAGGGGAUCUUCGGACCUUGCGCGAUUGAAUGAGCCGAUGUCGGAUUAGCUAGUUGGCGGGGUAAAGGCCCACCAAGGCGACGAUCCGUAGCUGGUCUGAGAGGAUGAUCCGCCACACGGGAACUGAGCCACGGUCCAGACUACUACGGGAGGCAGCAGUGGGGAAUAUUGGACAAUGGGCGCAAGCCUGAUCCAGCCAUACCGCGUGGGUGAAGAAGGCCUUCGGGUUGUAAAGCCCUUUUGUUGGGAAAGAAAAGCAGCAGGUUAAUACCCCGCUGUUCUGACGGUACCCAAAGAAUAAGCACCGGCUAACUUCGUG